ensembl:lncRNA
CUGAUGAGGACUUUAAAAGGUGAACAUAUCUUCCUGCCCUGAAGUCAGACACAGUUUCUCAUGGUGUUAGCACUAAUGCAAACCUCAAAGAAACUUUCCCGGAUUUAAAACAAGAGCUGUGUUCAGAGGUCUCUCCAGAGGUCGAGCAGCUCACCUUCUAACACAAAGCAGGCCUAGCCAUGAGGGGUUGUCACUGGAGAAAUAGCUUCUCAGGCAGUGCAAAUUUGACAGAUCUCUGCUGACUCUGCUGUAGCUAGGCUGACAAUUUACACCAGAUGAGGGCCUGCCCUGGAGCCUCUAAAGACAAAAUCCAAGAAUGUGUCCAUGAAACAUUUGGCUGCUGGGAAAGCUCUCUGCAUGCCAGGUGACAGCAAGGUAGCUUAGUGAGUCUGUGAGUCCAAACACAGUAAAACUCCACAAAAGGGCAAGGACAGCUGUAAGGACCUGGGCCUGCAAGCAGAGUUGGGCUUAUGCUGUUUCAUGGAGUGGAGUACGAGGUGCAGUGCCAUCAUCCUGUCUUUCCUGCCAGCCUGGAACUUGAGAAGAAGAUGCUGCCUUUCUGGCUCAAGUGACCAGAGAUGGUUCAAUGUCUUGGUGGGUCUUGGUGGCACAGUCUGAUGAGAUCACCACUGCUCAAAAUGGCCAUGGGAUAUUUUUCAAAAGGUGGAAAAGGUUUUCUUUUUUUGAAAAGCUUCUGGUUUGGACAUAUUUUUUAACUUUUAUGCUAUUGACACAGCACAUCUCUAAACAAGUCAGUGAGAUUGAAAUCACAAAAUUAAAAUUUAAUACAACAAAAUUUACUUAGCAUCUUUCAUAAAAUUGUACCUACUUUUUUAAAGUAGCUUCGAUAAUUUAUGUGCCAAGUAUUAACAUAUGUGAUGAUAUAUAGGUUUGUUGAAAGCAUUUGCUUUUCAGCUAUAGGUGCUAUAAAAACAUAUAACAGUUCAAUUUAAAAUAAAUCUCCCCCCUCCCCCCAGGUUAUCUUCUUUGAAACAUUUUUUCCUUUACUUACAUGAUAUUUCUUAUUUCUGCUGUCAAGAGCAUGUUAAAGAAUGCAAAAAUUAAAGACUUCAGUCUUUACCAGUAUAAAUUUCCCAUACUGUCACUCAUGGAAGUUAUUGCACCAAACUUUCUCUUUUAAGACACAUUGACUAUGAAGUUAUCAUUUUGGUUUCAAGUUGAUUUUCCACUUUUCCUGGCAGGGUUGCUUCAAGUCAUUUAUUUUGAGAUAUCCAUUCCAGAGUAUAGCCACAUUACUCUCAAAAAUAGACCCUGGGGUCCCUUCUGUGACUCCCUGAUAGUUGGAUUUAAAACGAAACUGUCAGUCUUCAACUCUGGCUGUAACCCUCUGCUUUUGGAAAAGGCUGCUAGGGAAACAGUGUAUAGAUAUCAGAGGAAAAUUAUUUUUUUCCUCUGUAUUCACUUCUCAAGCAGAUAUUUAAGGGAUAAAAGAUGAAGCAAGGUUUCAAUAGAAAUCCCUGCCAAAUCAGCCUAACAAAGAGCAGUGUCAUAGACAAGGAAGAUCAUUUUUAAAUUCUGUCUACUCCAAACCCUUGUUCCUGGUCUACAUCAAUUAGUGGUCACCUAGACCAGCAGGUUUGGCACAGAUGCCUACUACUGUUCAAGUGUCACCCAAAAUGUGCAUACCAGCACUCAUUUAAAGUAUUAUUCAGAUUUAUUAUGUAUUUUUAACAGUAUAUGGAAAUUGGAAUCAGAUGAGAGAAGCAGUAAGAUAUGAUCUCAACUAUUCUUUCAUUGAUGCAAUUAUUGGCAAUUGCUCUGACACCCUUCCUCUGCAAAAUUCAAGAACAAGUCUUCUCAUCAGCAGUGUAGAAA